AUGGCAUGUUGAGGACAAUUGGCGCGAAGUUUCUUGAAUCUCUCCCAAGCUAGGUAGCAAUUCUCAUCCUUGCGUUGUCGAAAACUUGCAAUCCUUUGUCUCCCCUU
rnacentral:snoRNA from 1 species